UACGAAGGGGGCUAGCGUUGUUCGGAUUUACUGGGCGUAAAGCGCACGUAGGCGGAUCGUUAAGUUAGGGGUGAAAUCCUGGAGCUCAACUCCAGAACUGCCUCUAAUACUGGCGAUCUAGAGUCCGGAAGAGGUGAGUGGAACUCCUAGUGUAGAGGUGGAAUUCGUAGAUAUUAGGAAGAACACCAGUGGCGAAGGCGGCUCGACUGUCCGGUGCUGACGCUGAUGUGCGAAAGCGUGGGGAGCAAACAGG
rnacentral:rRNA from 1 species